UUAAGAAACACUGGCUGUACACAAUGACCCGAUUUAAACUCAGUCCAAAAAUCCAUGUGUUAUUAGAAAGUUUAUAGAGAUGAUAGCAGACUAUGACAAUACUAGCGGACAUUAAAAAUGAAUAGUGGAUAUUUUCCGGAACUUGUUUUUUCUAACAUGUAAAAUGGAUAAUUCACGGAAGUGUUUGAAUUUAAUCAGUUACUUUUUGCCAGAAUUCUUGGAAGUACAGUAUGUUUACCCCUUCAAAGCUGUUUAUUUGUUUGGAGAUGUUCCUGAUUAUUAUCUGGAGGAGAAGAGGAAGAAGAAGUAUAUAAAGGUUUGUCUUCCGUCAACUAAGAUUAACACGAAGAGCGCAACUCUACGGAUCGAGGGAUUGUGAGUUCGGUCCACGGGCGAGGCGUUUGUUCUCCGUGAUUACUGAUAAAAGAUAUUGUGUCUGAAAUCAUUCGUCCUCAACCUCUGAUUCAUGUGGGGAAGUUGGCGUUCGUGCUGGUACAUAAUCCAGGAAAUACUGUUGAGAAUCAGCGAUAAACCUACAGCUAACUAACAAAUUAAGAUUAACAAUGACAACAUCUUUCUUCAGUCUGUGAAUUGUGACGGAUUUGCUUUACCGCAAAAUGUUUUAACAGCAUACCUGUCGCCAGGAAGAAUGCUACAAUUAUUUCCCUUUUCGUGUUAUUUUAUUAUUGCUAAAUUUACCUGUAUCAUUGUUAAACAUUAUACAUAUAGAUCUGUAACGAAGGUAUUGUAAAUUUUCACGAGAUAGAGAUGGUGUACAUCGUGCAACAUCUUAUGUUUUACUAUAGUAUAAUAUCGUAACUCAAUCUUGGUUUUAAAAUCUAAUAGUAAUUUCUUGACACCUCUGUGAACCUGAUUGUUAAGGAGCUGUUUCCUUUUUGAUUUUUUUCUUGGCGGAAGAGAUGGAAUACUCCAUGUAGUUUUUAAGUCCUCUUAGACUGAGCUGCUAUGGUAUUUGUCUGUUUGGCUGCUUUUGUUGUUUGUCUUGUUCCUUGUUGCUUUGCCUUCUGCAAGGCGUUAAGUACAUGCGCGUACAUUUGACAUGUUUUGUUUUUAUAAGUAUGUAUAAGAGCACACUUAAGUUUUACAUACGCUGCCUUAUAGAUUUGGUCUUGUCCGUGCGUGCGUGCGUCCGUCCGUGCGUGCAUCCGUCCGUCCAAAGUUUGUGACGCGCCUAGAUCAAAAAGUAUUUUAUAUAAAUUGAUGAAACCUUGCAUGAGUCUUUAUCAUGAUAGGAACUUGCGCUCCUCCUAUAUUUCAUCUGGCACCGCCCCCUAUUUCCAGAGUUAUGGCCCCUGAAAUAGUCAAAAAUGCAUUUUUCACCUUGUGACGCGCCUUAAUCAUGAUAUGAACUUGCGCACCUCCUAAUUUUCAUCCGGUUCCGUCCCGUAUUUCCAGAGUUAUGGCCCCUGAAAUAGUAAAAAAAUCACAUUUUUACCUUUUGACACGCCUAGCUAAAAAAUCAUAUAAAUUGAUGAAACCUUGCAUGAGUCUUUAUCUUGAUAUGAACUUGCGCACCUCCUAUUCUUCGUCCUGCUCCGUCCCCUAUUUCCCGAGUUAUGUCCCUGAAAUAGUCAAAAAUGCACAUUUUCUCCUUGUGACGCGCCUAACUUAAAAAGUAUUUCAUAUAAAUUGUUUUAAACCUUGCAUGAAUCUUUAUUAUGAUAUGA
rnacentral:lncRNA from 1 species